GGCUGGUCUGAAGUUAGUGAGUUAUCUCAAUUAAUUGUUCACAGUCAGUUACAGGUCAAACUUCCUUGUUCUACUCUUUCUUCCUUCUCAUUACUGCACUUAGUCUUAA
rnacentral:Y_RNA from 1 species